rnacentral:rRNA from 1 species
UACAGAGGUCUCAAGCGUUGUUUCGGAUUCAUUGGGCGUAAAGGGCGCGUAGGCGGGCGGGGUAAGUCGGGUGUGAAAUCUCAGAGCUCAACUCUGAAACUGCACUCGAUACUGCUCUGCUUGAGGACUGGAGAGGAGACUGGAAUUCACGGUGUAGCAGUGAAAUGCGUAGAUAUCGUGAGGAAGACCAGUGGCGAAGGCGGGUCUCUGGACAGUUCCUGACGCUGAGGCGCGAAGGCCAGGGGAGGCAAAACGGG